UGGGGAAUAUUGCGCAAUGGGGGCAACCCUGACGCAGCAACGCCGCGUGAUUGAAGAAGGUCUUCGGAUUGUAAAAAUCUUUUAUCAGGGACGAAGAAGUGACGGUACCUGAUGAAUAAGCUCCGGCUAACUACGUGCCAGCAGCCGCGGUAAUACGUAGGGAGCAAGCGUUAUCCGGAUUUACUGGGUGUAAAGGGCGAGUAGGCGGGUCGGCAAGUUGGGAGUGAAAUGUCGGGGCUUAACCCCGGAACUGCUUCCAAAACUGUUGAUCUUGAGUGAUGGAGAGGCAGGCGGAAUUCCCAGUGUAGCGGUGAAAUGCGUAGAUAUCACGAAGAACUCCGAUUGCGAAGGCAGCUUACCGUAGCGUUACUGACGCUGAAGCUCGAAAGUGCGGGUAUCGAACAGGAUUAGAUACCCUGGUAGU
rnacentral:rRNA from 1 species